GGGCCCGCACAAGCGGUGGAGCAUGUGGUUUAAUUCGAUGAUACGCGAGGAACCUUACCAGGGCUUAAAUGUAGUAUGACCGGUCUGGAAACAGGCCUUCCCUUCGGGGCAGAUUACAAGGUGCUGCAUGGUUGUCGUCAGCUCGUGCCGUGAGGUGUUAGGUUAAGUCCUGCAACGAGCGCAACCCCUAUUCUUAGUUGCCAGCGGUUCGGCCGGGGACUCUAAGAAGACUGCCAGCGCAAGCUGAGAGGAAGGUGGGGAUGACGUCAAAUCAUCACGGCCCUUACGUCCUGGGCUACACACGUGCUACAAUGCUACGGACAAAGGGCAGCAAGUUCGCGAGGACAAG
rnacentral:rRNA from 1 species